UACGGGGGGGCAAGCGUUGUUCGGAAUUACUGGGCGUAAAGGGUCUGUAGGUGGCCAACUAAGUCAGACGUGAAAUCCCUCAGCUUAACUGGGGAACUGCGUCUGAGACUGGAUGGCUCGAGUGCAGGAGAGGAAUGCGGAAUUCCAGGUGUAGCGGUGAAAUGCGUAGAUAUCUGGAGGAACACCGGUGGCGAAGGCGGCAUCCUGGACCAAUUCUGACGCUGAGUGAGCGAAAGCCAGGGGAGCAAACGGG
rnacentral:rRNA from 1 species